AUAGUUCUCAUUUUUUAUCCGCUUAAAAAAUUGCCACAUUUUAUUUUGUGCCACCAUACUUACUCGUGUAACUACUCAUGUAACCAUCUUUUAAUAAGGAAAACGUGGACGUGUUUAGUGGCUUCUAAAUUCAUCCCUGCUUGGAUCCUAAGGAAUUAAUUGGGUUAGGCUAAAUGCUAACACAUUCAUGAUGCGCUGUGCAAAGAUGAAGUGCACACAUUGAAAAAAGAUAGGUAUAUAUUAAUUUCUCUAAAUUGAGGUAAGAACAUAGUAAAAUAUUGAAAAACGAUGGUGUUUUCCUUUAAUCUAUUGUUCAUAUGUCCUUCUCACUGUGAUUUUAGUGCCCACACUCUCACCAAGAUUAAGCCAAUCUGCGCAUGUGUGCAGAGGAAAAGAGUUUCUGCCUCAUCAAUGAUGGGGAUAAUGUUAAACUGGACCGAAGUCAUGACUACUACUACCCAGUUCAGGCACAGCUUCACAUUGACUCCUGGUUGAACUGUGUGUCCAGUGCUUUGGUCCGAAGAUCUCCCAGCUCUGUUGUGUUCUGUCUCAGAACAUCCUCGGUCUUCUCAAUGUCAUCCAUCGUUAGUUCAGUCUGGCAUCCGGCAUCUAGAGAGUCUGCAAUAUAACAGUCGGGAGCAUAAUUAGUGUGAAACUCACAGGUGAAACUCAAAAUUAGAAUAUUGUGCAAAAGUUAAUAUAUUUUAAUAAUUCAACUUAAAAGGCAAAACCUUUUUCACAAUAUUCUAAUUUUGAAUUUGGGGUUUCAUAAGCUGUAAGCCAUAAUCAUCUCAAUUAUAACAGAUAUUGGCAUGAACUAUCUCACUUUGCAUGACUCUAUAUAAUAUAUUAGUUUCACCUUUUAAGUUGAAUUACUGAAAUAAAUGAACUUUUGCACAAUAUCCUAAUUUCUCGAGUUUCACCUGAACUUCAUGAAUUUGAAUUAUGUGCAUUUAUGUGAAGUUAUCUUUUUGACAACCUUUUUACAAACAUGCAAGUUCUCUGGUCCAAUUACACAGGGUGAUUUUCUGACAAUCACAUUUGUAACAUUUAAUAAUAAUGCUAGUUACACAUCUUAGUACAAUAAUUUACCUUGAUCAUUUAAUGUCCCAUUCCCACUGAUGUCCUUUGACUGUGAGUUGUCAGCUGACUGCUUCGGUUCGGAGCUCUCGGCUGUCUGCGUUAGAUCUGGGCUCUCAGCUGUCUGUUGGAGAUUUAACAUAGCCUCUACACAUUCCGACCGUCUUUGUUUGUCUUCCUUGAGCUUCAUCCUCUGCUUUCGUUGCAGGAAUGCCUCUGAUUUGGGUUUUUGGUAACCGAGGUUG
rnacentral:lncRNA from 1 species